GAAAGCAGGGAGGAACCAGUGUGUUCUCCCAGUUAGUUUAACACAGCGAUAACACUGAAAACAUCACUGCACCGGAAACAGCUCAGCUCAGAAGCAACAAACACGGAUCUGCUGAGACACGAACAGGAAGCGUUUCCAGCCGACUCUGAAACAUGGCGUCCAAAGAAAAUAUGACAAACAAACUUCAGCAGACCUCAUUUUAUCAGGAGCACAGAACCAACUUCUCAUCAAAAUAAUAACACAGAUCCAAGUUUCCAAUCCCAACAUCAACUAAAUAAACUACUGGACAUUCUUAUGGUUUCACUGCUACAGACACUUCCUGGCCCAAGUCCUGGGACUGGGAAAGAAGCUACAAGCAUUGAAUUCCACACCUCUGGAUCAGAACCAGUUGAGGUCGUCUGCUUUGAUGCAUCAACGACUUACAUUACCUGCACAUCACUUUUCCGAUAAUAUCAUGAGGACCUCUGUCUGACUCAGAAAGCGCCAUGUAAACAGUUUCCUCACUACCUCCACCUAAAGAAGCAAUUAUUUAAUUAAACUUAGAGGAGUGU